GAGUUUGAUCGUGGCUCAGGACGAACGCUGGCGGCGUGCCUAAUACAUGCAAGUCGAGCGGAUCUUCAUUAGCUUGCUUUUGAAGAUCAGCGGCGGGCGGGUGAGUAACACGUGGGCAACCUGCCUGUAAGACUGGGAUAACUUCGGGAAACCGGAGCUAAUACCGGAUAAUCCUUUUCCUCUCAUGAGGAAAAGCUGAAAGACGGUUUCGGCUGUCACUUACAGAUGGGCCCGCGGCGCAUUAGCUAGUUGGUGAGGUAACGGCUCACCAAGGCGACGAUGCGUAGCCGACCUGAGAGGGUGAUCGGCCACACUGGGACUGAGACACGGCCCAGACUCCUACGGGAGGCAGCAGUAGGGAAUCUUCCGCAAUGGACGAAAGUCUGACGGAGCAACGCCGCGUGAGCGAUGAAGGCCU
rnacentral:rRNA from 1 species